rnacentral:rRNA from 1 species
GAACCUGCGGAAGGAUCAUUAUUGAAAUAAACCUGAUGGGUUGUUGCUGGCUCUCUAGGGAGCAUGUGCACACCUUGUCAUCUUUAUAUCUCCACCUGUGCAUCGUUUGUAGACCUUCCAGGUCUAUGUUGCUUCUCCAUUUACCUCCAAUGUAUGUUAAUAGAAUGUUGUGGCUAUAAAAUCUAUACAACUUUCAGCAACGGAUCUCUUGGCUCUUGCAUCGAUGAAGAACGCAGCGAAAUGCGAUAAGUAAUGUGAAUUGCAGAAUUCAGUGAAUCAUCGAAUCUUUGAACGCACCUUGCGCUCCUUGGUAUUCCGAGGAGCAUGCCUGUUUGAGUGUCAUUAAUAUAUAUCAACCCUCUCUCUCUUGCUGAGUGGUUUGGAUGUGGGGGGAUUUGCUGGCCUCGUAAAGGGUUCAGCUCCCCUGAAAUACAUUAGCAGGACAAUCUGUUCAUUGGUGUGAUAACUAUCUACGCUAUUGAAUGUGAGGGUCAGUUCAGCUUUCUAACAGUCUUGGACAGUU